UCGUAUUUCAACAAGUUGUGUC
rnacentral:siRNA from 1 species